UGACCCCUGCGGUGUGCGCCAAGAAGGAGUCGAUUUGAAAGAACCGAUACCCGUGCUGAGGGAAAUCAGGACUUGAAGUUCCGUGAACGCCUGGGACCCAGGACUCUCGGACUCAAGCGAAGAUUACCCACCUGACAGUAAUGGGUUCUCUUCAAAGAGCCUUCUAGCGGCAUCUGCGGAGGCAAG
rnacentral:other from 1 species